GCUGGGUGUGGUGGCGCGUGCCUGUAAUCCCAGCUACUCGGGAGGCUGAGGCAGGAGAAUCACUUGAAUCCAUGAGGUCGAGGUUGCAGUGGGCCAAGAUCGCGCCACUGUACUCCAGCCUGGGCAACAGAGUGAGACUCUGUCUCAA
rnacentral:SRP_RNA from 2 species